rnacentral:rRNA from 1 species
CACGUAGGGGGCAAGCGUUGUCCGGAAUCAUUGGGCGUAAAGAGCUCGUAGGCGGCUCAGUAAGUCGGGUGUGAAACCCCCAGGCUCAACCUGGGGACGCCACCCGAUACUGCUGUGGCUAGAGUCCAGUAGAGGAGUGUGGAAUUCCCGGUGUAGCGGUGAAAUGCGCAGAUAUCGGGAGGAACACCAGCGGCGAAGGCGGCACUCUGGGCUGGUACUGACGCUGAGGCGCGAAAGCUAGGGGAGCAAACGGG